AUGUCCUCUUCCUCCUCGUUCGUGUCGGCGGAGGCGGAGACGAGGAACUGGGCGGAGCUGCCGCUGGACGCGAUCUCAUCGAUCCUCCACAAGCUUGACCACGUCGACAUCCUGAUGGGGCCCGGCCAGGCGUGCCGCUCCUGGCGCGCCGCCGCCCGCGACGAGCCCGAGCUGUGGCGCCGCAUCAACAUGCUAGGCCACGCCGAUCUCUCCCGCAGGCUCAACCUCCACGGGAUGGCGCAGGCCGCCGUCCGCCGCAGCGCGGGGAGAUGUGAGGCGUUCUGGUGCUAG
rnacentral:rRNA from 1 species